AAAAAAAACUUGAGAGGGAGCUCCAAGAAGAUGACACAGCUCAAAAUAAAAAUUAGGUAUAUUCUCGUAAAGUCAAGUGAGCCAUGACAUAUGAGCUCUUAUUGUGAGCACACAGGACGGUGGCAUCUUUCUAAGCACCAGGUGUGGCCACUAGCCUAUAUGAAGGCCCAAAAUUG